rnacentral:rRNA from 1 species
AGAGUUUGAUCCUGGCUCAGAAUCAACGCUGGCGGCGUGCCUAACACAUGCAAGUCGAACGAGAAAGUGGUAGCAAUACCAUGAGUAAAGUGGCGCACGGGUGAGUAACACGUGACUAACCUACCCUGGAGUGGGGGAUAACUGAGGGAAACCUUAGCUAAUACCGCAUAAUACCCACGGGUCAAAGGAGCGAUUCGCUCCAGGAGGGGGUCGCGGCCGAUUAGUUAGUUGGCGGGGUAACGGCCCACCAAGACGAUGAUCGGUAUCCGGCCUGAGAGGGCGCACGGACACACUGGAACUGAAACACGGUCCAGACUCCUACGGGAGGCAGCAGUGGGGAAUUUUGCGCAAUGGGGGAAACCCUGACGCAGCAACGCCGCGUGGAGGAUGAAGUCCUUCGGGACGUAAACUCCUUUCGAUCGGGACGAUAAUGACGGUACCGGAAGAAGAAGCCCCGGCUAACUUCGUGCCAGCAGCCGCGGUAAUACGAGGGGGGCGAGCGUUGUUCGGAAUUAUUGGGCGUAAAGGGUGCGUAGGCGGUUUGGUAAGUCUUAUGUGAAAUCUAUGGGCUCAACUCAUAGACUGCAUGAGAAACUGCCGGGCUCGAGUGUGGGAGAGGUGAGUGGAAUUUCCGGUGUAGCGGUGAAAUGCGUAGAUAUCGGAAGGAACACCUGUGGCGAAAGCGGCUCACUGGACCACAACUGACGCUGAUGCACGAAAGCUAGGGGAGCAAACAGGAUUAGAUACCCUAGUAGUCC